rnacentral:lncRNA from 1 species
GUGGGGCCGGCCCAGCUUUCCCGGACCAGGCCACCAGCUGCGGGCCCCCAACCUCGCUCAGACUCGUGCAGAGCCCAGGCUUGGGAGUGGCUUAAGGUUUUUUGCCCUCAACGUCCUUGCCUUCCUCCUGCUUAUCCACCUGGGAUCUUCACAGCAUCAUUUUCUGGGAUCCUCUCCAACCCCUCCCCUGUAACUCUGAGCGUGGGGCGCUGGGGAUGUGGAGUAGGCAGGGCUGAGGGCCUCAAUGAAGCGGGUGAACCCACGCGCGUGCGCACAGCCGCCCGCGCCGCGCCCCGGGCCGAUCCGGUUCUUGCCCUUGGGACGUGGCUGCGCCUCACCGCCCUACCCCGGGAGGGAACCCCCGCUGACUUUUUCCUCUCUUCAUUUUCCUCCCCAGGCGUCC